rnacentral:rRNA from 1 species
GACGAACGCUGGCGGCGUGCUUAACACAUGCAAGUCGAACGAUGAAGCUGGAGCUUGCUCCGGUGGAUUAGUGGCGAACGGGUGAGUAACACGUGAGCAAUCUGCCCUUGACUCUAGGAUAACUGCGGGAAACUGUAGCUAAUACCGGAUACGAGAUUUGGAGGCAUCUCCGGAUCUGGAAAGAAUUUCGGUCAAGGAUGAGCUCGCGGCCUAUCAGCUUGUUGGUGAGGUAAUGGCUCACCAAGGCGACGACGGGUAGCCGGCCUGAUAGGGUGACCGGCCGCACUGGGACUGAAACACGGCACAGACUCCUACGGGAGGCAGCAGUGGGGAAUAUUGCACAAUGGGCGAAAGCCUGAUGCAGCAACGCCGCGUGAGGGAUGAAGGCCUUCGGGUUGUAAACCUCUUUUAGUAGGGAAGAAGCGAAAGUGACGAUACCUACAGAAAAAGCACCGGCUAACUACGUGCCAGCAGCCGCAGUAA